ensembl:lncRNA
ACUGCAUGCUGGGUGGUUUGUUCAAGAGAGGUGGCUCUGCUCUCCUGGACAUGUUUAUUUUUCAAAUUGACAAAGAGUAAAAGAUCUUUUCUGACAUUUUGCCUUGGGGGACUGGAUUAAAGGUUUACAGAACUUUCAGAAGGCAGCAAUGGAUUAAUUUGGAUGAGGGGCCCAGGGGCCUCUUGAAAGGGAAGAGACUGAGUAAUCUACAGGAGCUAGAGAGAAGAUAUCGUCUAGACCGAUUGGCCCGACUCUACCCUUUUUUCGUGGAGUGCAGUGGUGUAAUGUGUAGCGUACCUGGACUGUCUGGACUGGUCUACACUGGAGACUUGAUCUUGUGUCUUGUACUCAGGAGAAACUUAAUUUUAAAGCAGUCUCUCUGGAACCAUGAUCUACCACAGAGAAAGCAGAUUACAAAAUUAUUAUGCCCUCCGGGAAGAAGGUGUUUACUCAUUCCCGAAUUCAGGUCAUAUUAGUGGACAGAGAUGAACGGCACAUCCAAUUAAGAGAAGUGGACUGGGGAGAGUACCCUGAAGAGAGACAUGAGGACAUCUGAAAGGAGGAAAAAUGUCCUGCAAGGGGAGAAGAGGCUCACUAACAACGUGCCCAGCUUCAGAGUUUGAACCUUUGAUGGCAAUUGUUUUACUUAUCAGACUUUCAACCCUUCCUGAUUGUCAAGUGCAGCUAGUAGCUCAGUGAUUUAUACUGAAGAUGAUAAGGUGAAGCUCAGAUGUUACAGAUUUCCUAUACUAUAUGUAAUCUUCUAAAUCUUUUGUACUGUAUAUAAUCACACCAGUUCCCUUAAAAUUGUGACCUGAACAUGAGAAAACCUGAAAAAGUCAACUGUCCUGAACUGGCUCUGAACAUGUUCGUAUGAAACAGAAUCAUAACCUACCGUCUUUUAGAUCCAAAAACUUUGCUCCUCUUAGGUGAAGAUUGAUCUUGAGUGACUUAAUGCUCUAUGUGAGGUAGUUAUUUAAAGAAUUCAUUCUUGUCACAAAAUAGCACUUUUUAAAUAUAAUAAUAGUACAUAUUUAUCAUAAAAAUAUCAAAAAUAUAAGACAAUGAAAGAAAUAAAUAUGAAUUGCACCAUCCAGAGGUAACAACAGUUAGCAUUUCCUUUUCACCAUAGUGUGUGUGAGUGUGUGUGUAUCCAAAGAACACCAUAUCUUUGGACAUUUGAGUCAAACUGGCAAGAAAUUAGAAGGAAGUUGGAUUAUUCUCUCCUUGUCCCAUAAGUUCUCCAAGAUCACAGGUAGAUAAGCUAACUAUUUUGGUUCCAAAGAAUCAGCAACUGGGACUGAAAAACAGACGAAUAAACAAAACCCUGACCAGUCAAGAUGUGAAAUGAUUGUGCGGUCCAUGAUCUUCUGCAAGCUGGAAGCAUGCUGGAGAUCUGCUCAUAUGCUAAGGAGGGCAUUUCUCAAUGAUCUCUUCAGAUCUGAUCAAGGAAGAUAACGGGAGAAGAAGGACAUCCCAGAAUGGACUCAAGAGCCAUGGAGAACAAGACAGUGGACUUAUGAGCUACUCUUAGGGAGCAGAACUGGUACCCAAUCAAGGAGAAUUCACCAGCUUCAGAGUCUGGAGCCUUCACAACAUAUGCCCAGAGGAUGUCAGAGUUGUUAUGGACUGAAGUCUGCUGCCUUCUUCCCACUAUUCUCCUUUUUAAAUGGGAGCAUUAAUGGCUACAAUUCUGGCUGACUUCCACCCCUUGUGUAUUAACUAUGUGUGGGUUAGAUAACUUAUAAUUUACUUCCUAGGCUUCCAGCUCAAGAGGAGAGCCACAGCUGCACACAUGUGGACACAUUCAUAAGAUUCUAAACUUUGACCAUGUUGACUCUCUUGAGAGAGGAGAUGAAUCUGUCUUGGAAGGAAGGAAGUACAUAUUUGGGACCAAAAUGGAGAACUGUGGUUGCCAGAUAUCGAAUGAAGACUACGUUUACAAAUGCAGUUAGGAUAAGCCUUUUACAGAACUGGAUAAGGAUAAGGAUAAGAAAAGGAUAAGCCUUUUACAGAACUUUGUAGAACCAGUUUCUUUGUCUAGUCAAUGCUGUUGGUAUUGGAUGAUUUAAUGAAAAUGCCUGAGGCUUACAGAUAAAAGGACUAUGGAACAAAGUUAUUACAUGGGAAUCCUUCCUGAAUAAUAUUUAUUGCGGAAUGUCCCUGGCACUAAGUAAAAAUAGAUAAAAUAUUAGCAUUUUCAAAACCCUAAUCUUAUGUCCACACAAGUGCCUUGCUCUUAUUUUAACUCGGGCUUAACACUGCUUGACAUCAGAAGAAGUACACCCAAUCCUCAUUUUUGGGCAAGAAGAACAAAUCGCUCUUCCUUGUUCACAAGACAGAUGGAGCAUCCAAAGAUCAGCUCUCUAUUGGGAACUCGGAAACCACUCACUCCCAGGCCUACCGUCUGCUUCUCUGUACAAAAGACAAAAACCACUAGGAGGAUCAAUUUUUAAAAUCAGACUGUUAUGGGUAGUUGAAAAUUUAAUUUGCCCCCAACAGAAAAGAAAAAGGAAGCCUGCAAAGCAGGAAUAAAGGAAAAUUUUUAACAUAUUAAAACUGGCUAUAUCUGUCAUGCUCAAUUGUGCAACAGAGCAAAAUGAGAUGAGCAUAUUAGUGGCAGUUGAGAAAAAUGGCUUUUCAAAUUCAGUUUUUUAUGAGGGUAAUUUAGUAAGAGUAGUAUAAGAGUCGUUAAGUACGAAAUACCAUAAACGUCAAUGUGAGUUGCAUUCUGCUUUUGUUUGGCUCACGGAGUGACAUAGCAUACCUUAAAUCUGAUGAAGAUGCUCUUUUGGAAACUAUAAAGAGAGAGGCAUUAACACAGACUGAGAGUGGCACUAGAUUCCCGGGGAAUAGGGCUCCUAAAACAACCUUUGCCUGUCUUGUUGAGGAGAUGGGAAGAGCUAAGAGGAAGCCUGUGCUUCCAACCCAUGAGUGGUGUAAAAUCAAGAAGAACCUUCUUGUGAGCCAGCCACCCACCUCCUACUGGGAACACAAGAGGAAUGUAGGCAGGAGCAGUGAGCUUGUGGAGGAUGAUUUCAAGCAGGGAGGCAGGCGCGAGGAAUGAAGAAUCCUCAGGCUGUGACAGAAGGAAAUGCAAGCCCAAACGCAGGUGUUGGCUCAGACUCCUAGAGGAUUACUUCGGUUAUUGUGUUGAGAUGGGAUGAAAAGGGAAAAUCGUCUCCUACUCCCUUGCCUCAGCCAGCCUGAAAAAUUAUGGAGUGUGAAGUGUAAUCCCUUGUAAAUAUUGGUUUGAAGGUCUCACCAACUCUAGAGAGUAUAAAAACCAAGAAAAUACACUAUAAAUCGAAGAUCUCAAUGGGAAAGUAUACUUUUAUGAGUCCACGUUUAUUGAAUAUUUGCUGAGCUGAGGACAGUAUGACAAAUUUGACCUCUGUCCAGAUACUUCGUAUUUUGGACUCGCUGAAGUUCAUUUUAGUUUCAUCACAGGCCUUGCCCUCAGAAAAAAAGACUCAGUCCUUCCUACUUGCUGUACACUAGCAUCCUCCUCGUUCUUUACCAAUAUUUCUCCAACCCUGCAUAAAAAGAUGUGGCCACACCAUCUAAUCUGAUCUCGUCACAACUUUUUCGUGUAAAUUUUCUUUUUUAGCCAUUUGGUUCCUCUGAAAAUUGGCCAGUGUUGUCUCCCCUCCAAGUUUUUGCUUCUCAGUGUGUCUUCAUCUGCACUUCCAAUUGUCCCUCAAAUUUUAGCAACAUUGAGCUGAGCCUCUAAAGUUUUCUAAAGUUUGGGUCGGGUCAUCUUUCUCCAGUCUUUCUCAGCUCUCCAGCUUACACGGAUGGCCCCUUUCUCUAAAUCUGUAACCUCCACUCUGACCUCUGAGACAGCCAUAUCUGCCCUGGAGGUUUUCUCAAGGACAUUCUGAUUUCCUUGACUGUAGAUUCCAUUGUAUCCAACAUAGAAUUUUGUUUGCUUUUAUGAAAUUUUAUGUGUUGUGUGGCAGCAUCUGUGCUGUGUUAUGUGUGUGUGUGUUUGAGUGUGUGCACAUGCACACUAGGAGAGGGAACGGAAGGUUCCAUUUUUCCCUACUCUCAUUCCAAGUUGCACGUGUUUAUCCACUCUUUCAUCCAUGCUUGACGGAAACAUCAGUGAACAAUGACUACUAACCCCCUUGUCACAUCAGAGGCUAUAGUGGGCAGACACCCUCCUGUCUUGCACCAUUUCUCUCUGUUUCUCCUCUGCUUGAACAACCUCGGUUCAGAGAUGGGGUGGACAUAGCUGGCUCAGUGGUUGCAUGAGAUCUGUAGGAUGGCCUCUAUACUCAAUCAGUGUCAGGCAUUCUAAGAUGAGCUUGGGCAAAGGAAGAAUCUCCAGUUUGGAAAACAGAAGAUGGUAACUCCCCAUUCCUCUAUUUAAGGAGGCAGAAUCCGUUUAAACAUCAUAUCCUCUUGUUUAUGGUCUCAUUUUCACUUAUUCAUUCAUUUAUUCAAUUAUUUACUUACUACUUGAUCUGUCAUAUAUUAAGAUCUACUCUGUGUGAAUAAAUUUAGUCAGGAGGUGUAGCGGUUAUCUAUUGCCAUCAUAAUGCUGCAUAGCAAAAAAAUCAUAAAACCUCAGUAGCAUACAACAAUACAUAUUUAUUUAAUUCAUCAGUCUGUGAACCAAAUGGGCAUUUUUUCUUGUCUGAGCCAGACUUGACUGAUCUCAGCUGAGCUUACUCAUUUCAUUUAUCCGUCAUCAGCAGGCAGUUUGACUGGGGACCAGCAAGUCUAGGAAGGCCUUGGCUGGGACAGAUGAGACAGCUUGGAUCUCUUUCUUGUGGUCUCUCAUCCUCCAGCACAUUAGUGUGGCCUUGAUCACAUGAUGGUGAGAAUCUAAGACAACAAUGUGGGUGAACAAGACCUUUUAAGAUGUAGAAAUGGCACAAAGUCACUUCUGUCAUAGUCUAUUGGCCAAAAGUGGGUCAAAAAGACUCAGAAUCAAGGUAGGGGUGGAGUGAAUAGGAAAUAAACUCCAUCUCUUUAAGAGAGGAGCUGCAAAGUCACAUUGCAAAGGACGUGGAUUCAGGGAUGCCAUUUGGGCCGCCCAUGUAACCAAUCUACCACAAGGAGACCGAGAGGCAAACCUCCAGUUGGAAUAUAAGGACUACAAAAGGAAUGUGUGUACAAUGGUCAGGGAAAAUUUUUUAGAGUGUUCUUCUACCUUGAAUAAAUCAUUUUUAAAGGAACAAGAGGAAGAAGGAUGUAGGAAAGAAGCCAAUAAACUAUUUCUGCCCUUCUUUUCUCCCCCUUUUCCACAAUACUCACAAAGGCACUUACUAUGGGAGAUCUUGGUGGCAUUCAAAAUUUGCCUGGGGCAGCCACCCCAAAGCAGUGGGACUGAAUCCUUUUGGAAGUCAGAUCCUGUCUGCAGAGGUGAUGUGAAUGCAUUUAUUGUUUCUGUAGCAAAGAAGAUGCUAUUUGGAAACUAAGCUCUUGUUGAAUACUUCAGAUGCUUUCCUGGGUCUUCAGGGAAGUCUUCUCUGGGUUACUUUUUGUUUUUGAAGUCAGUAAUGGACUCUAAGCUUCAUUUCAGUUUCUCAUUCUGCAUUUGUCACUUGAUCUCAUUAGACUCCUGGGUCUCACUUGUAUAUCUGAUUUAGACUUCUGUCAACUCUCAAGGCAGAGAUGACUGCCUGUUGUAUUUUACAGAAUUUAGCAAAUGCUAGUUGUGGGUUUAAAUCAAUGAGUCUUGCACUUUCUCAUCCUGCAAUUCAGAACUUUCAGCAUCAUACCAACAGCCUAUCAAAGAGUCAAUUGCUGUUUAUCUUCGGGUGCUGUUACAGGAAAAGAACCAAUUAGAACUUCUCAACUGCAGUCCCCUUGGACAUGGCUAUAGCCCUUAGCAAAGGCAAAUGAGGAGGUGAAGGAAGUGACUGCAUGGUUGAGGGAACUAGUUAACCCUGAAGAGGUGUUCUAAACACUUGAGUCACAAUCUGCCUGUCCUUUUUUGAACUCCCAACAGUAUCCUGUUCUCAGAAGAAAUAGCAAAUUGAAAUGGAUCUGGCUCUAAGGGUCUCAUGCUACUGGAAUGGUGUUGCAGCAGGAUUUUCUUUAGAAAUAUUUAAGAAUAAAGUAGACAAACUCACAUUUUCUAGACUAGAUGGGUUCUGUGAUACCAUGUACCAUAAAACGUUUUUUGAGAUUAUCAAUUUUCCUUAUUUCUUUGCUUUUGACACACUCGUCUUGGUUUAAGUCUACUUUCUUAACAAAGGGUGUGUGUGAAUUUGUGUCUACACAUACACAUGGUGCUCAGAUUGAGAAAUAAAUCUGAAAUACAUUUUGAAAACCUCAAGUUCAAACCCUUUAUUUUACAGGUGACUAAACAAAAUUAGACAGGAGAAAAAAUAUCUUGCACAAUAUCUAGCUAGUUAUUAGUUGUGUGUGAGGGGUGUUCUGACUCUCAGUGCAUUCAAAUUGCAUAAUUUAUAGAAAUCUUGUUUUAUGCAUGGAAUGGCUUAGAAAUGGUGGAGGCAUCACCCAGAAACUUGUACUAUAGUACAAGUUGGAAGUAAUGCUACGUACCGACCAAGUGCAGAGAGGCGUAUGACAUAGAUGCAGAGCCAGCUGAAAGAGGAGGCACAGCAUGUGCUAUCUACAUGACAUAAUUUAGACCAUAAGUAAAUCUUCCCAGUCCAAAAAUAUUCCCACUAUUACUACAGUGGCCAUCCUUUCCAGUUUGCCUAGGAUAAUCCUGUUUUAUCCCUGUUGUCCUGGCGUGAUUAACUUUUACUUUAAAACAUCUCCCUGUUUAGACAAUACAUUAUUCAGUCACACUAGCUAUCAAGAAAGUGGGAGAGACACCAUUACUUUAUGUCAUAUAGGGUUUUCAAUUUCCAAAAUCCCUUACACUCAUUUAAUAGAAAUAUUAUUUAGAGGUCCAAAACAUCAAAAAAGCUUAUCAUCUACUGAAAACAAUUAGCAAGACAGGACUUGAUGAAUGUGAGGGAAAUAAUGAAAGAGAGUCUUUGAAAGGGAAGUCACAAGACCACCAAAGACAAACUCCUCCCACCUUCCCUGGUGCCAGAGCCAAUGUCCAGUGUGAAGACUGGUCACCUGGCAGAUGGCAUGGGGCCAACAGAAUGUUUAUUGCUCGCCUGAUUUAAUAAAGAGACAAAUCCCCCCUCGUUCUCUAAGCUGCAAAAGCCAAUAGAAGUCUUAGAGUAUUACCAAGGCCUAAGGAAAUUGUUUUCCUUUAAAACAUUCCAUCAAUGCUUUAAUUGAUUGUUUAAUAGUUGCUCUUUUAAAAUAAUUUCAUAAGUAUUCAAAGAUUUAAUUUAUUCAUCAGGUUGCCCCCUCCAUCCUCAUCUUUCCUUACAACUUUUGUUGCAGAACUUGUGCAUUUCUGUAGAAACUGUAGAGCUUCUCACACUCCACCUGUUUAACAUGCACCUCUGUCCUGUGUAUCUCUUGUACAUGGGCAGCUGGGUCCAAAAGCCUGAUUGGACUAUAGGUGGCGGUGUACUCUUUCAUCAGGAGGCAAAUACUGUCGGGUUGACUGUCAUUUUGUGAUGUUAGCAGCCGUUUAUGCUUGUUGCCUAAUUCAGGGAUCAGCAAACGUUUUGAGUUCAGCUAUGUCCUUACUGGAUCUGUCCACUUUGGAAAGAGGGGUGUUGAAGUCUCCAACUAUAAUAGUGGAUUCAUAUUUCUCCUUGCAGUUCUAUUAGUUUUUACCUCAUGUAUUUGGAUGUUCUGUUGUUUGGUGAAUAGACAUUAAAGAUUAUUAUGUCUUCUUGGAGAAUCGACUCAUUUAUCAUUAUGUUAUGCCUCUCUUUAUCCUGAUAAUUUUGCUUGCUCUGAAGUCUGCACUGUCUGAAAUUGAUAUAGCUACUUCCACUUUCUUUUGCUUAGCAUUAGCAUGACAUGUCUUUCUCCAUUCAUUUAGUUUUAAUCUAUAGAUCUUCUUUGACUUACGAUGGUGUUACAUCCCGAUAAACCCAUUGUAAGUUAAAAAUAUUGUAAGUGGAAAAUGCAUUUAAUACACCUAACCUACCAAAAAACAAAGUUCAGCCUAGUCUAGCUUACACACACUCAGUACACUUACGCUAGUCUACAGUUGGGCAAAAUCAUCUAACACAAAACCUAUUUUAUAACAAAGUGUUGAAGAUCUUAUGUAAUUUAUUGAAUACUGUACUGAAAGUGAAAAACAGAAUGGUUGGACGGCUACAGAAUGGUUGUAAGUAUGUUGGCUUUUUACCCUCAUGAUCAUGUGGCUGGCUGGGAUCUGUGGCACACCUCCACUGCCCAGCACCAUGAGACAGUAUCGUAGCACAUAUCACUAGCCUGGGAAAGAUCAAAAUUCAAAAUGCAAAGCAUGGUUUCUGCUGAAUGUGUAUUGCUUUUGCACCAUUGUAAAUUUGAAAAAUUGUUAAGUUGAACCAUCAUAAGUUGGGAACCAUUUGGCUAUGUGUCUUUAAAGUGGGUUUCUUAUAGAGAACAUACAGUUGGGUCUUACUUUUUGAUCCACUCUUGACAAUCUCUGUCUUUCAAUUGGUGUGUUUAGAC